rnacentral:rRNA from 1 species
AAGGCGAGGCCGAAAGGCGUAGUCGAUGGGAAACGGGUUAAUAUUCCCGUACUUGGUGUUACUGCGAAGGGGGGACGGAGAAGGCUAUGUUGGCCGGGCGACGGUUGUCCCGGUUUAAGCGUGUAGGUGUGUGUUCCAGGUAAAUCCGGUUCACUUUAACACUGAGGCGUGACGACGAGGCACUACGGUGCUGAAGCAACAAAUGCCCUGCUUCCAGGAAAAGCCUCUAAGCAUCAGGUAACA